GUUUGUUUCUAAGUUCGGAGACAUCAUGGGAUCAUCAUCGUCGUCUUAUGCUAGAGGGGAUCAGGUUGACAGGGAGCCAGAGCUCGGGGACUUGAUUGAGAUCUCCCGUGACAACUAUAAGCACUGGGCUGUAUACGUCGGUGCGGGCUUUGUUGUUCACUUUGUAA